UUGCCAAAGGUCUCCUCGUCAUCCAGCGUCAUGACUUCCUUCUCGUUCUCCGUGGUCACCUCGAUGGUGGAUGUCUUGCUUUUGCCCGAACCUGCUCCAGCCGGGAAGCCAGGGAAUGAAGAGGAGGGAACAAAAGCACUAAAACAAGACUCCAGGGAUCGACAUCUUCCACAUACGGAGCCACAAUUUCCCAGAAAGACUGGUUUCAACUAUCCAAUUCUUCAGUAAAGAGUUGUCUCUGGAGUCAAUCACAGAGGAGAAAAUACCUCCACCUGACAGGACCCCCGAGAGCAGAGGCCCCCAAACCACCGCAGGAAACUCCUUUUUUUUUCUUAUUUUUUCUAACCCCCUGUUGAACCAUUCAGUGCAAGCCCAGCUGAACCUCUGACAGAUAUGAACCACCUGCGGACCAGCAAAACGCAUUUAAAGGGAACCAGCAACCAAAAGGACGGCUCGGAUUUCACGGCAGACUUAAAAAAAAAAAAAAAAAAAA